UACGUAGGGUUCAAGCGUUGUCCGGAUUUAUUGGGCGUAAAGAGCUCGUAGGUGGUUCGGUAAGUCGGGUGUUAAACCCCCAGGCUCAACCUGGGGACGCCACUCGAUACUGCUGUGACUAGAGUCCGGUAGGGGAGCGUGGAAUUCCUGGUGUAGCGGUGAAAUGCGCAGAUAUCAGGAGGAACACCAGCGGCGAAGGCGGCGCUCUGGGCCGGUACUGACACUGAGGAGCGAAAGCGUGGGUAGCAAACAGG
rnacentral:rRNA from 1 species